UGCGAGAAGUAUCUUCGGAUAUGAGUAGAGCGGCGGACGGGUGAGUAACGCGUAGGAAUCUACCUAGUAGAAGGGGAUAGCCCGGGGAAACUCGGAUUAAUACCGUAUACCUCCUUCGGGAGAAAGAAGGCCUCUCAUUGAAGCUUUCGCUACUAGAUGAGCCUGCGUAAGAUUAGCUUGUUGGUGAGGUAAAGGCUCACCAAGGCGACGAUCUUUAGCGGGUCUGAGAGGACGAUCCGCCACAUUGGGACUGAGACACGGCCCAGACUCCUACGGGAGGCAGCAGUGGGGAAUAUUGGACAAUGGGCGCAAGCCUGAUCCAGCCAUACCGCGUGUGUGAAGAAGGCCCUAGGGUUGUAAAGCACUUUAAGUUGGGAAGAAAAGUUAUUGGUUAAUACCCAAUAGCCGUGACAUUACCAUCAGAAUAAGGACCGGCUAAUUCCGUGCCAGCAGCCGCGGUAAUACGGAAGGUCCAAGCGUUAAUCGGAAUUACUGGGCGUAAAGCGCGCGUAGGUGGUUUAUUAAGUUGGAUGUGAAAUCCCCGGGCUCAACCUGGGAACUGCAUCCAAAACUGAUUCACUAGAGUACGAUAGAGGGAGGUAGAAUUCACAGUGUAGCGGUGGAACGCGUAGAUAUUGUGAAGAAUACCAAUGGCGAAGGCAGCCUCCUGGAUCUGUACUGACACUGAGGUGCGAAAGCGUGGGUAGCGAACAGGAUUAGAUACCCUGGUAGUCCACGCCGUAAACGAUGUCAACUAGCUGUUGGGGAACUAUGUUCUUCAGUGGCGCAGCUAACGUAGUAAGUUGACCGCCUGGGGAGUACGGCCGCAAGGCUAAAACUCAAAUGAAUUGACGGGGACCGCACAAGCGGUGGAAGUAUGGUGGUUUAAUUCGAUGCAACGCGAAAAACCUUACCUAUACUUGACAUACUUGGAAUGCUUUGUAAUGAAGCAGUGCCUUCGGGAGCCAGGAUACAGGUGCUGCAUGGCUGUCGUCAGCUCGUGUCGUGAGAUGUU
rnacentral:rRNA from 1 species